AGCCUGGUGGUGUAACGGUAGCACAGCUGGUUUUGGUCCAGUCAGUCGGGGUUCGAAUCCCUGCCGGGCUGCCA
rnacentral:tRNA from 3 species